CACAAGCGGUGGAGCAUGUGGUUAAUUCGACGCAACGCGAAGAACUUACCUGGGUUUGACAUCUUGGGAAUCUUUUAGAAAUAGAGAGUGCCCCGCAAGGGGAGCCCGAAGACAGGUGCUGCAUGGCUGUCGUCAGCUCGUGUCGUGAGAUGUUGGGUUAAGUCCCGCAACGAGCGCAACCCUUAUCUUCAGUUACCAUCAUUCAGUUGGGGACUCUGGAGAUACUGCCCCGGUUAACGGGGAGGAAGGUGGGGAUGACGUCAAGUCCUCAUGGCCUUUAUAUCCAGGGCUACACACGUGCUACAAUGGUCCGUACAAAGGGUUGCAAGCCUGCGAGGGUGAGCUAAUCCCGAAAGCAGGCCUCAGUUCAGAUUGCAGUCUGCAACUCGACUGCAUGAAGCCGGAGUUGCUAGUAACCGCAGGUCAGCAAUACUGCGGUGAAUACGUUCCCGGGUCUU
rnacentral:rRNA from 1 species